UGCCCACUGAUUAAUAAUUAAAGGGCUGCAGUAUUUUGACUGUACAAAGGUAGCAUAAUCAUUAGUCAUUUAAUUGAUGACUUGUAUGAAAGAUUGGAUGAAAUAUGAACUGUCUUUAAAUUAAAUAUAGAAUUUAAUUUUUAAGUUAAAAAGCUUAAAUAAUUUAAAAAGACGAGAAGACCCUAUAGAGUUUUAUUAUUUAUUUAAAUUAAUAUUUUUAUAAUUAGUUAUAUUUAUGUUAAUUUUUAAUAAAUAAUUUUAUUGGGGUGAUAAAAAAAUUUAAUUAACUUUUUUUAAUUUAAAAACAUAAAUAAGUGAAUAUUUGAUCCAUAUUUUAUGAUUAUAAGAAAAAAUUACCUUAGGGAUAACAGCGUAAUUUUAUUUUUUAGUUCAAAUAAGAAAUAGAGUUUGCGACCUCGAUGUUGGAUUAAGAUAAAAUUUAAAUGCAGAAGUUUAAAAGUUUUGA
rnacentral:rRNA from 1 species